CCUACGGGAGGCUGCAGUGGGGAAUAUUGGGCAAUGGGCGCAAGCCUGACCCAGCAACGCCGCGUGAAGGAUGAAGGUUUUCGGAUUGUAAACUUCUGUCGCGAGGGACGAAGAAUGACGGUACCUCGUAAGAAAGCCCCGGCUAACUACGUGCCAGCAGCCGCGGUAAUACGUAGGGGGCAAGCGUUGUCCGGAAUGACUGGGCGUAAAGGGAGUGUAGGCGGCCUUGUAAGUUAGAUGUGAAAUCCUACGGCUUAACCGUAGAACUGCAUCUAAAACUGUGAGGCUGGAGUGCAGGAGAGGUGAGUGGAAUUCCUAGUGUAGCGGUGAAAUGCUUAGAGAUCAUACAGAACACCGAUUGCGAAGGCAGCUUACCAAGCUACUUCUGACGUUGAGGCACGAAAGCGUGGGGAGCAAACAGGAUUAGAUACCCCAGUAGUC
rnacentral:rRNA from 1 species